UACGGAGGGGGCUAGCGUUGUUCGGAAUUACUGGGCGUAAAGAGCGUGUAGGCGGUCAGGUAGGUCCGUUGUGAAAACUCGAGCUCAACCUCGAGACGCCGGUGGAAACCAUCAGACUAGAGUCCGGAAGAGGAGAGUGGAAUUCCUGGUGUAGCGGUGAAAUGCGCAGAUAUCAGGAAGAACACCCGUGGCUAAGGCGGCUCUCUAGUACGGUACUGACGCUGAGGAGCGAAAGCGUGGGGAGCGAACAGG
rnacentral:rRNA from 1 species